AGCGAACGCUGGCGGCAGGCUUAACACAUGCAAGUCGAGCGGGCACUUUCGGGUGUCAGCGGCGGACGGGUGAGUAACGCGUGGGAACGUGCCCUCUGGUUCGGAAUAACUCAGGGAAACUUGAGCUAAUACCGGAUACGCCCUUUUGGGGAAAGGCUUGCUGCCGGAGGAUCGGCCCGCGUCUGAUUAGCUAGUUGGUGAGGUAACGGCUCACCAAGGCGACGAUCAGUAGCUGGUCUGAGAGGAUGAUCAGCCACACUGGGACUGAGACACGGCCCAGACUCCUACGGGAGGCAGCAGUGGGGAAUAUUGGACAAUGGGCGCAAGCCUGAUCCAGCCAUGCCGCGUGAGUGAUGAAGGCCUUAGGGUUGUAAAGCCCUUUUAUCCGGGACGAUAAUGACGGUACCGGAGGAAUAAGCCCCGGCUAACUUCGU
rnacentral:rRNA from 1 species